rnacentral:rRNA from 1 species
AUUGAACGCUGGCGGUAUGCUUAACACAUGCAAGUCGAACGGAAACGAUGGUAGCUUGCUACCAGGCGUCGAGUGGCGGACGGGUGAGUAAUACUUAGGAAUCUGCCCAGUAGCGGGGGACAACUCGAGGAAACUCGAGCUAAUACCGCAUACGCCCUACGGGGGAAAGCAGGGGAUCUUCGGACCUUGCACUAUUGGAUGAGCCUAAGCGAGAUUAGCUUGUUGGUGGGGUAAUGGCCUACCAAGGCAACGAUCUCUAGCUGGUCUGAGAGGACGAUCAGCCACACUGGAACUGAGACACGGUCCAG